rnacentral:rRNA from 1 species
GAUGAACGCUGGCGGCGUGCCUAAUACAUGCAAGUAGAACGCUGAAGCUUGGUGCUUGCACCGAGCGGAUGAGUUGCGAACGGGUGAGUAACGCGUAGGUAACCUGCCUCUUAGCGGGGGAUAACUAUUGGAAACGAUAGCUAAUACCGCAUAAAAGUCGAUAUCGCAUGAUAUUGAUUUGAAAGGUGCAAAUGCAUCACUAAGAGAUGGACCUGCGUUGUAUUAGCUAGUUGGUGAGGUAACGGCUCACCAAGGCGACGAUACAUAGCCGACCUGAGAGGGUGAUCGGCCACACUGGGACUGAGACACGGCCCAGACUCCUACGGGAGGCAGCAGUAGGGAAUCUUCGGCAAUGGGGGUAACCCUGACCGAGCAACGCCGCGUGAGUGAAGAAGGGUUUCGGAUCGUAAAGCUCUGUUGUAAGAGAAGAACGAGUGUGAGAGUGGAAAGUUCACACUGUGACGGUAACUUACCAGAAAGGGACGGCUAACUACGUG